AUGAACGCUGGCGGCGUGCCUAAUACAUGCAAGUCGAGCGAACAGACGAGGAGCUUGCUCCUCUGACGUUAGCGGCGGACGGGUGCGUAACACGUGGAUAACAUACAUAUAAGACUGGGAUUACUUCGGGAAACCGGAGCUAAUACCGGAUAAUAUAUUGAACCGCAUGGUUCAAUAGUGUAAGACGGUUUUGCUGUCACUUAUAGAUGUAUCCGCGCCGCAUUAGCUAGCUGGUCAGGUAACGGCUUACCAAGGAAACGAUGCGUAGCGGACCUGAGAGGGUGAUCGGCCACACUGUAUCUGAGACACAGUCCAGACUCCUACAGGGGGCAGCGGUAGAGAAUCUUCCGCAAGGGGCGAAAGCCUAACGUAGCAACGCCGCGUAAGUGAUGAAGGUCUUCUGAUCGUAAAACGCUGUUAUUCUGGAAGAAGAAAAGUUUAAGUACCUAUGCACGUCUUGACAGUACCUAAUCAGAAAGCCACGGCUAACUACGUG
rnacentral:rRNA from 1 species